rnacentral:rRNA from 1 species
UACGUAGGGUGCAAGCGUUGUCCGGAAUUAUUGGGCGUAAAGAGCUCGUAGGCGGUCUGUCGCGUCGGCUGUGAAACCUCGGGGCUCAACCCCGAGCCUGCAGUCGAUACGGGCAGACUAGAGUGCUGUAGGGGAGACUGGAAUUCCUGGUGUAGCGGUGAAAUGCGCAGAUAUCAGGAGGAACACCGGUGGCGAAGGCGGGUCUCUGGGCCUGUCCUGACGCUCAGGCGCGAAAGCUAGGGGAGCAAACAGG